rnacentral:rRNA from 1 species
AGUGAACGCUGGCGGCGUGCUUAACACAUGCAAGUCGAACGAGAACGGAAUAUAGCUUGCUAUAUUUGUCAGCUAAGUGGCGCACGGGUGAGUAAUGUAUAGAUAACCUGCCCUUAAGAAAGGAAUAACAGUUGGAAACGACUGCUAAUGCCCUAUAUGCCUUUAAUACAUAAGUAUGCAAGGGAAACGCUUUAGUGCUUAAGGAUGGGUCUGUAUGGUAUCAGCUUGUUGGUGAGGUAAUGGCUCACCAAGGCUAUGAUGCCUAAGUGGUUUGAGAGGAUGAUCAGUCACACUGGAACUGAGACACGGUCCAGACUCCUACGGGAGGCAGCAGUGGGGAAUAUUGCACAAUGGACGAAAGUCUGAUGCAGCAACGCCGCGUGGAGGAUGACACAUUUCGGUGCGUAAACUCCUUUUAUAUAGGAAGAUAAUGACGGUACUAUAUGAAUAAGCACCGGCUAACUCCGUGCCAGCAGCCGCCGUAA